GCUUGAAGUGGAGAAAUUAAUAGAAGCUCUAGUGGACUGAGCUGUUCUCAUGCUUGUCUUGCAUUCCCAUAAAAUUGCUUGGGGUUUGAACUGUAUAGUUUGGAUUUCAAUG